rnacentral:rRNA from 1 species
GUCCAGCAGCGGUAAUACGUAGGGUGCAAGCGUUAAUCGGAAUUACUGGGCGUAAAGCGUGCGCAGGCGGUUUUGUAAGUCUGACGUGAAAUCCCCGGGCUCAACCUGGGAAUUGCGUUGGAGACUGCAAGGCUAGAAUCUGGCAGAGGGGGGUAGAAUUCCACGUGUAGCAGUGAAAUGCGUAGAGAUGUGGAGGAACACCGAUGGCGAAGGCAGCCCCCUGGGUCAAGAUUGACGCUCAUGCACGAAAGCGUGGGGAGCAACAGGG